UGUGUGCUGAAAUGCUGACUAUUAAUAGAUGCGACGAGGAGCCGGCGUGACAUACACGAGCUCUUCUCUUCUUCUCAAACAGAAGACGAAUCCCCACGUCGCCCCACGGAAUAUCUCCCUCGGAUAUCUACCCCACGAAAUGGACGGUUUCGGUCCGGUAGUUUAGGUGAGUGCGUCUGUCUGUGUGCUGAAAUGCUGACUAUUAAUAGAUGCGUCUUCUGCAGACAUGGCGAAUAUAGACCCAAGUGUGGAAUGUGUGUGUGUGUGCUGGCUCACUGUACAUUCGUGUCAGCUGUAUAGCCACGCUUCUCUGACACUGCAUUCGUGGGCAGAAAGCUAUAAUGAGAGCAGCGUUGUGUCAAGAGACUCAUUCCAAGAUGCACGAUGGCCGUAUAUCUUUACCCUGGUGUUUAUUUCCGAUGUUAAACUCUGCUGUGAUUGGAACAUGCUCGGAACACACAAACACUGCAGCUCACGCUGUAUACCAGAUCUGCAUUUCUCAGGGAAAUACCAAUGCUUGUUUGCAAUGAAGCAAAAGGAUAGGGUUAACCCUACAUUCUUAAAUGUUCUGGGUCAGAGUGUAAUAUCCAGCCGUUGUCAUAACACUCAGCUAGCGUCUUAUGUUUUUUUGUCAGUGCACGAGAGUCGCAUUAUUGGCUAACAUAGUUUAUGUAUAGCUAUAAGUAUAAGACCAGGCCAAUCAUAAUUGGAAGUCACAAUGAAAAUGCAAAUAAACUCGAGAAGAGAGUUUAAUAGUGACGCAAUCGACUCGGUUAGAACUUUCUUUUAAGAAUCUUAAAACAUUUCUUAAAAAUUAUAUGGUUUAUAAAACCAAAAUAGCACACUGAGGCUUAAAUUAACACAGAUACUGUUGCUGAAUGAGGACUACAACCACGAUACUGUGAGUUUAUGCUUGACAAAUCUGUCAUCUGUUGCAGCAGCUUAUUAUUUAUUUAAUUUGCAAAUCUCAGCGACUUUAAAUUACUGUGGGUAAUUUGUAUUUUGGAACAAAACAUGAACGUUAUAUUAACCACAGACCUUGAUUUACUAAUAAAUCAAAAGGAACAAUUAUACAAACACACAGGAAAUUCAUAAGGAAACCAACAGUGAAUUGGGUUGCCUUUUAAGUUAAUGUCAUGAUUCAACAGCUGUUGUACAGAUAUACAUAUACAUAUAUACUACAUAUAACAUAUUAACCACAGACCUUGAUUACUAAUAAAUACAAAAGGAACAAUUAAUACAAACACACAGGAAAUUCAUAAGGAAACCAACAGUGAAUGGUUGCCUUUAAGUUAAUGUCAUGAUUCAACAGCUGUUGUACAGAUAUACAUAUACAUAUAUACUACAUAUAACUACAUAUACAUACAUAUGUAUGUAUAUGUUAUAUGAAAAAUUAAUAGAGCAGCAGUGCAGGCUGUGUGAUCGUGGUGUUGGUGGUUUUUAGAGCUCUGGCUGUCAGUGGAGAUUAUUUGGUCAGAUAACAGUCCAUGCCAGAGGCACAGGAGGCAGCAGGAAUGUAUAUUGUGUUUAUGAAGGGUCCACUUGUGGUUUGUGAAUGUGCAGAUCUGUUGAUGUACUGAGUCACUCAGAUAGCUACAGGUGACAAGUGUAAUUGCAUAAUGGACUGAAUGUGCUCUGACACAGAGAAUGACAUGACCAGCUUUUAUUGCUGCUCAUAAACCACUUGCAUGUUUGCUGAAGCAGUAACAAAAUAUUACAAGGCCUUUUCUGUUGGAUAGAUUUUCAUUUUAGUAGGGACUCUUUUCACAUUUCCGGGUUUGUCAGAAGCAGAAGUGGGGUAAAAUUAUAUAGUGGGGAAUGGCAGGCUACAUCAGAUAUGUUUUUUGCAUUUCCCUUUGAUCAAAUAGCAAAAGAAAAACUCUACAAUGGUGAAAAAAAAAACCUUUCAAAAAGAUGAAAAAUAGAGAGAGUUUGAUACUGGCAGUCAAGAGAGAAAAAUAUCACAUUUACUGUUCUUUUGACAAAAGAAAAAACUACUAACAAUAGGUAGAAAAAAAAAACCUUUACAAAAAGAAUGAAAAAUAGAGAGAGUUUGAUACUGGCAGUCAAGAGAAGAAAAAUAUCACAUUUACUGUUCUUUUUGUAAUUUGAUGCAAAGGUAAUAUAAUACAAAGUAUAGUGUUAUAAAUGUACAUACAUUUAAAAAAUGAUGCUGAUGACCAUUGAAAUGCAUCAUCACAGUCUGUGAAAAGGGUCCAUUUUACUUGAAUAGUAUUUAACCACAUUUAAUAAUGCAAUAUAAUAACAUAAUAUAAACCACAUUUAAUAAUCUAUAUAUAUAUCACAGUCAA
rnacentral:lncRNA from 1 species